rnacentral:rRNA from 1 species
UACGAAGGGGGCUAGCGUUGCUCGGAAUCACUGGGCGUAAGGGUGCGUAGGCGGGUUUUUAAGUCAGAGGUGAAAUCCUGGAGCUCAACUCCAGAACUGCCUUUGAUACUGAAAGUCUUGAGUAUGGGAGAGGUGAGUGGAACUGCGAGUGUAGAGGUGAAAUUCGUAGAUAUUCGCAAGAACACCAGUGGCGAAGGCGGCUCACUGGCCCAUUACUGACGCUGAGGCACGAAAGCGUGGGGAGCAAACAGG